UCAGGAUGAACGCUAGCGGCAGGCUUAAUACAUGCAAGUCGUGGGGCAGCAGUGGUAGCAAUACUAGCUGGCGACCGGCAAACGGGUGCGUAACACGUACGCAACUUUCCUUCAAGCGGGGGAUAGCCCAGAGAAAUUUGGAUUAAUACCCCAUAAAAUUUUGAGAUGGCAUCAUCUUAUUAUUAAAGCUCCGGCACUUGAAGAUGGGCGUGCGGCUGAUUAGGUAGUUGGCGGGGUAACGGCCCACCAAGCCUACGAUCAGUAGCUGAUGUGAGAGCAUGAUCAGCCACACGGGCACUGAGACACGGGCCCGACUCCUACGGGAGGCAGCAGUAAGGAAUAUUGGUCAAUGGACGAAAGUCUGAACCAGCCAUGCCGCGUGAAGGAUGAAGGUCCUCUGGAUUGUAAACUUCUUUUAUUUGGGACGAAAAAAGGGUUAUCUAACUCACUUGACGGUACCAGAUGAAUAAGCACCGGCUAACUCCGUGCCAGCAGCCGCGGUAAUACGGAGGGUGCAAGCGUUAUCCGGAUUCACUGGGUUUAAAGGGUGCGUAGGCGGGUAGGUAAGUCAGCGGUGAAAUCCCCGAGCUUAACUUGGGAACUGCCGUUGAUACUAUUUAUCUUGAAUGUUGUGGAGGUUAGCGGAAUAUGUCAUGUAGCGGUGAAAUGCUUAGAUAUGACAUAGAACACCGAUUGCGAAGGCAGCUAACUACGCAAAUAUUGACGCUGAGGCACGAAAGCGUGGGGAUCAAACAGGAUUAGAUACCCUGGUAGUCCACGCCCUAAACGAUGAUUACUCGACAUUGGCGAUACACUGUCAGUGUCUGAGCGAAAGCAUUAAGUAAUCCACCUGGGA
rnacentral:rRNA from 1 species